rnacentral:lncRNA from 1 species
CUGCGCGUGCGCAGAGGUGCGGCCGGGGAGGCGCGCGGAGGCUGGAGCUGGAGGCGCGGCGCCGGUGAGCUGAGACCAUGUGUGCUCAGUAUUGCAUCUCCUUUGCUGAUGUUGAAAAAGCUCAUAUCAACAUUCGAGAUUCUAUCCACCUCACACCAGUGCUAACAAGCUCCAUUUUGAAUCAACUAACAGGGCGCAAUCUUUUCUUCAAAUGUGAACUCUUCCAGAAAACAGGAUCUUUUAAGUUCGUGGUGCUCUCAAUGCCGUCAGAAGCU